CCUCAGCCUCGCCUCAGCGUCAGCGAGCGGGUGGGGACGGAGCGGCGAAGCCUUCCAGGUGUCUGUUUGUCCAGCUGCCCUUGUGAACAGGAGAAGGGAGUGCUGAAACACUGGGGAAGAGGGAGCCCUUUCCUGACAGCCAGAUGUUGGCCGAGCGCUGGAAAACAGCAUCGGACCCUGCCAGAAAGGUGCAGUAACUGGAAUGUACCAGGCCUCUCCCAGGUGUGAUCUCAGCUAUUAAGAGGUUUGCUUACAUCAAAGAUUGCCCCCAAGCUGACAGGAAGCAAAAACAAACAGGUUAAGAGCUUCCUCUCUGAAGCUGAUGUUAUUUCUGCAUAAUACAACAGAUGGAAGUGCUAUUCACCCCACUCAUCACUAAGCAGGAGGAUUGAGCCUUAUUUUGAGAAGUCUACCAGCUGAAGUUUACAGCUUCAUCAGGAACAUAUCCUAACUUCUGGUAUCUUUUCUUGAACAAGGCAACAUAAACCUGGUUGAAAAGAAAUCAUCUGUACAAGAAGACUGAAUUUGGGCAGAAAUUGCUGCAAAGAAUAAAUGCUAGACUGAUGCUCUCAAAAGAAUAAAUGCCAUUUUCAAAAUUUGUGGAUGGUGUGCAAGCAAUAUUCUGCUGCAAUCUAUUUCCAGAAAUCUUCUGCAUUGUUAGGUGAGGGAGCAAACACUGCACAGGGAGAGAGAGGAGAGGCUGCAAGAACACCUAUCCAUAAAACCCUGCUGAAAGUACACUGCUAAUGCUGCUACAGGACAGCUGUCACCUCAUCUCCUGGGAAUCACUUUUUCUAAACAGAAAAUACCCCAGAAUGGAAUAGACCUUCUUAUUAAUGAUUUCUCCUAAAUACUCAGCAGUAGUCUCUGAAUUCAGAUAAAGUCUUGCAAAAUGUUAUCCAUACUUUUCUGCAUUCACUGCUAUCUUUUGGAAAAAGGAGAGGAUAUUUUUUGAAAUAUCUCAGAGGGGAAAAUAAGAAGAAUUGUGACGUGUGACAAUGGGAUACAGAUUUCAAUACCAUUUGGAUCUGCAUUGGGAUCUCCAGGAACCCUGGCAUCAAAGUCCAGUGCUUCAGGAUGUGUGAAUAAUUUUUCCUGGAAAGGUCACAAUCAGGUGCAUUACUGAGUUUUGGUCACCUCUUGUGCUUUUGUGACUAUGGAGAUGUGUCUCUCUCUGCCCUGCAACAUUUAUUACUAAGAGUAUGCCAGAGUUGUAAAUGAUGACUCUGAAUUGGUCAUGGCUGCCUGGAACUCCUGAGUCUCACAAAGUCCUCUUACCCUAACAGCAAGUACUUCCCUUGGUUAAGGCUGUCCCAGGAAGAUGCUAUGUUUUCCACUACCUGACUCUAAGGUAAUCAUUUUGGGGGGAAAGGUUUUAUCAACAAGCUGACAGUAUGGAACUGGAUGUAUUCACAGAUCAGAGAAACUGGUAAAAAGGGUUAACCAUGCAUCUAGGAAUGUAAAAAAAAAAUUCAUUGUUGAAAUUUCCUAAUCAACAAAAAUUUACUUUGCCUGAAUGGAUAAAAAAAAAAUAAAUACCUAAAGAGAAGCAAGUCUUAGGAAUUAGCAGAUACACACAAAUAUUUAAAACAUGCCUACACGGUAGAACUGUGUUGCAGUAACUUUUCUGAAGGUACUGACUAAUCUGCUGCUACAUAAUGUACGAGGGACAGGCUUCUUUUCAUGCUAAUCUGGCAAAUCCCCUUGAACUUGAAAAGAUAAAAGACAUUGCAGGGGCUGUCUUUUACUUUCAUCUUCUCUGCCUAUUAUCCAAGUCUUUACCUUAUAAGUCUCCUUUGUCUCACCUCC